GACGUAGGGCGCGAGCGUUGUCCGGAUUUAUUGGGCGUAAAGAGCUCGUAGGCGGCUCAGUUAGUCGGGUGUGAAACCCCCGGGCUCAACCCGGGGACGCCACCCGAUACUGCUGUGGCUAGAGUCCGGUAGGGGAGCGUGGAAUUCCUGGUGUAGCGGUGAAAUGCGCAGAUAUCAGGAGGAACACCGGUGGCGAAGGCGGUUCUCUGGGCCUUACCUGACGCUGAGGAGCGAAAGCAUGGGGAGCAAACAGG
rnacentral:rRNA from 1 species